rnacentral:rRNA from 1 species
GUGCCAGCAGCCGCGGUAAUACGUAGGUGGCAAGCGUUGUCCGGAAUUAUUGGGCGUAAAGCGCUCGCAGGCGGUUCUUUAAGUCUGAUGUGAAAUCUUACGGCUCAACCGUAAACGUGCAUUGGAAACUGGAGGACUUGAGUGCAGAAGAGGAGAGUGGAAUUCCACGUGUAGCGGUGAAAUGCGUAGAGAUGUGGAGGAACACCAGUGGCGAAGGCGACUCUCUGGUCUGUAACUGACGCUGAGGAGCGAAAGCGUGGGGAGCGAACAGGAUUAGAUACCCUGGUAGUCCACGCCGUAAACGAUGAGUGCUAGGUGUUAGGGGGUUUCCGCCCCUUAGUGCUGAAGUUAACGCAUUAAGCACUCCGCCUGGGGAGUACGGCCGCAAGGCUGAAACUCAAAAGAAUUGACGGGGGCCCGCACAAGCGGUGGAGCAUGUGGUUUAAUUCGAAGCAACGCGAAGAACCUUACCAGGUCUUGACAUCCUCUGAACACUCUAGAGAUAGAGUUUUCCCUUCGGGGACAGAGUGACAGGUGGUGCAUGGUUGUCGUCAGCUCGUGUCGUGAGAUGUUGGGUUAAGUCCCGCAACGAGCGCAACCCU